CUCAUUUCACAUGACACCUCUCUGCGCCUCCACACCCCUCUCCUCCAGAUGCUCCAUCGGUGGCAGCUCUCCGCUUGCACCGCUGUCGCACUAAACUUUCAUCACAACGAAGCUCCGUCACAUCCCCUCCUGGCUUUUCUUUGUGUGUUGCUUGUAUUACUUCGUAUCGAACCCUAAUGUGCAAAAAUCACAGAAAUCACUCUAUUUCGACCUCGCCUUAGCUUUGCAGGUAACCCUAAUCUCUUCCACGCCUUUAUCACUCUUCCUAUUUACUACUACACUGAUGCCAGCCUUUCCUCCUGUUUGCCAUUUUUCGUUGAACUUUUUUGCAUCUCGUCCGAUUCACCACCUCUCCUCGAACUUUGCAACACACUGUCGUCGUUCUAGUCCUGAUCUGCUACCACUCAUAGAAUUUUCCUGUUCCAGAAUAUCGAGAAUCUAUCCUCAUAUUCGGAAUCAUUUGAGAUCCCACGUGGCCAAGGUCGUGGUGGUGAACACCAUUAAUCAACUUUUCUUUCUUUUUCCCCCUUCAAUUUUGUAAAAUUAGAGAAUGACUUUAAAAUCCAUGUUCAAUCAUGUCAUCUCAUGGAAUGUAUGGAUUUUCUCCCUUGUCUUGUAAAUUCAAGAGCUCGAUAAACAAUAUGCUAAGCUGGAUAUGCUUUUGAGAAGGCUCAAGGGUUGGGAUUCCAUGUUGAAUUUACUUGGUUUGAAGCUUUGAACUACAUACAGAAAAGGGAAGAAAGGAUAGCUAAGUAAGAUAUUUUCACGUAACAUAAUUUGUAUAGGCAAAUAGAUGAGUACAAUCAGUCAUUUCAUUAAUUAAAGCACAGAUCAAGCUGUAUCGGCAAUGUUGGCUAGUGUACGUCAACAUUAGAGAGAUGACGUUUAUCCUAAGUCUUGAUCAAGAAGCUGGGAAGAGCGUAACAUGUGUGCUUCACUUAAGUCCUGCUUCUGUUGUAAGUUCUUCAGAUUACCAGAAAUGGAUGAAGAAAUUUGGUUCUGCACAGCAUAUCAUGGCUAGGCAUGGAAAAUAAGUUGCUAGUUUUUCUGGGAAUUGCUCAUUUUUUUGUUUCUACUACAACACAUUAUUUAUUACUCUUGUUUGCUUCUAUUGUUCUCAGGAAGAAUGUAGAGAUUCCUAUCUUGAAAGCUAGUGCAAGAAUUGCAUCUCGACUUAAUUAUGUUUGUCCUUAGUUCUUUCCAGCCCCAGGAUUUAGUUCCCGCAGCAAAUCAGACAAAGAAAGAUUUAGUUCCCAUAGCAGAUCAAAAUAUGAUGAUUCAGGAACCUUGGUUGUGUGAUUCUACUGUUCCUUCUUGUUUGGAAAAUAGAAGGAGAUAUGACUUGGAGAUAGUUCUUCUUGGAGCCGGUUCAUCCCAACAAUCCAAGUACAGAAACAUGAGUUCAAUAUAUAUAAAUCUUUUCUCAAAAAGAGGUUUGCUCUUGGAUUGUGGUGAAGGAACCUUGGGACAACUCAAAAGAAG